UCCCUGGAGGACUAGUGGUUAGGCCUUGGCGCCCUCACCGCCACGCCCCGGGUUCAAUUCCGGACCAGGGAA
rnacentral:tRNA from 1 species